CUACGGGAGGCUGCAGCUGAGGAAAUUUUACAAUGCUCGAAAGAGUGAUAGAAUAAGCCAGAGUGUUUCUCUUAGAGGAACUUUUGUCUGCUGUAAAAAGGCAGACGAAUAAGGACUGGGCAAGACCGGGUGCCAGCCGCCGCGGUAAUACCGGCGGUCCGAGUCGCAUCCACAUUUAUUGGGUCUAAAACAUCCGUAGCUUGUUUUGUAAGUCUCUUGUGAAAUCUCGUGUCUCAAAUACGAGGCGUGCAAGAGGUACUGCAUUACUAGAGAUCGGAAGACGUAAAGAGUACGAUUAAGGUAGCGGUAAAAUGUGUUAAUCUUGAUCGGACUAACAAUGGCGAAGGCGCUUUACGAGUACGAAUCUGACAGUGAGGGAUGAAGGCUAGGGGCGCAAAAGGGAUUAGAUACCCCCGUAGUC
rnacentral:rRNA from 1 species